GCUUCGGUCUUCUCAUCUUUUCACACGGGGCGCGGGGUGGGGCGGGAGAGGAAGGCCGGAGCUUGCGCCGCCGCCGCGGCAGGGACUGUGACGCGCCUCCCCCGCCGCGGGCGGCGCUAGUGCAGCUGGCCAUGUCCAUGGAGGACCCCUUCUUUGUGGUGAAAGGGGAGGUACAAAAAGCGGUGAACACAGCUCAGGGGCUGUUCCAGAGAUGGACGGAGCUCCUGCAAGAUCCCUCCACAGCUACAAGAGAAGAAAUUGACUGGACCACCAAUGAGCUCAGGAAUAACCUACGGAGCAUUGAGUGGGACCUGGAAGACUUGGAUGAAACUAUUAGCAUUGUUGAAGCAAAUCCUCGGAAAUUCAACCUUGACGCAACAGAGCUGGGUGUAAGAAAAGCCUUCAUCACAAGCACACGGCAGGUAGUCAGGGAAAUGAAGGAUCAGAUGUCAAACUCAUCUGUGCAGGCACUGGCUGAAAGAAAAAACAGGAAGGCACUGUUGGGAGAAAGUGGAGGUCAGAGUUGGAGCUCUGGAUCAGAUAAAUAUGGCGGUUUGGAUCGUGAGCUGCAGUUAGCCAAUUCACACUUCAUUGAGGAGCAGCAGGCUCAGCAGCAGUUGAUCGUGGAGCAGCAGGAUGAGCAAUUGGAGCUGGUCUCUGGCAGCAUUGGGGUGCUGAAGAACAUGUCCCAACGCAUUGGUGGGGAGCUGGAGGAACAAGCAGUGAUGUUGGAUGACUUCUCUCAUGAGUUAGACAACACUCAGUCACGGCUCGAUAAUGUUAUGAAGAAGCUUGCAAAAGUGUCCCACAUGACCAGUGGCUUGGAAACCACACCCAGCCACAAGAAUGCUAGUGUCUGCCACCACCCAAAGGCUGUGCAUAGUAAAACUCAAAGGUGCCAAAGCAAAUAGCUUAAUUCUGGAGUGUGUGAGAGGAGGGAGAGAUUAUUGAAGAUUUCUAGUAUUUUAUUGGAUUGGUUGCCAAAAAACACCUCAAAUCUACCAAUGUCACCUCAGCACUCAUCUGUGUCUUGAAUGCCUGAAGCCAGUGGUGAGCUCAUGCAUCCAGCUGGUGAGAUUCUCACCUGAGAACUGAAAGACUUCAGAUCGACGGCAGUGGUGUGCAAUCAUCAUUCUCUUUGUUAUCUUACUGGUGGUGCUUAUCCUGUUUUUUGUGCUGUGAUGGACUAACCUCCCUUGGACUCGUUCCCCCCGCCUCAAAAAAAAAAAAAUGGGGAAAUGAAACUUAGUUACUGUUUCCCUCCACUCUGUGAUUCCUGUCAUGAAAACUUACAUCUGGACCUUACUGUUCUCUUCUGUGGACUAACACUUAUGGCAUGACUCUUGCAACUACUUCGUCCGAUUCUAAGCCUCAUCAACUUGCCUGAGGGGAAAAUGGAGGAUGGAUGUGAUCCCAAAUUCUUCUGUACCUGGGACAUACUGCUGUGUGGACAACAGGCCUGCUUCUCCCUCACCGUCCCAUGUGGAGUGGCCUAGAAGGGAAAAGGCAAUUCAGAAGGAGUUUACCACUGUUAAUAUUUCCAUCCAUUACAGGUGUGAACCAUAUGAAGCCUGGAAACAUCCGAAGCUGCCACAUAUUCCCCUUUCCCUUGUUAAAUGCCCCUCUUGUCAGAUUUAGACAUAGAAUAAUAGUUCCUUGGGACAGUAUUUCAUUGACUGCUGGAAGCUGAUCACCAGCCAACAGUGCAGCACUUCCAAGCGAAUAAAAGUUGGUCACUAGGAAGGAAAGGCGGCAGCGGAGGAGUAGUGUUGAUGUCAAUAAAUGCAUUACUUUAUACUCUGGCUAUCUUCACUCCAGUGCAAAGCUAUAGAAGACAGAUGGGUGGAGAUAAAGAUUGCUUUUAAGGGUGCAGACACAUUCUGCUUUUGAAAAUACUAAGUGUUAGGAGAAGCAAGGUCUUGGAUCCUGUGGGAUUAAUAGAAGAGGAGAUAUGGCUCAUAACUGCUGACAUGAAAUCUAAUGUGGACUUGAGUCUGUACCUAACAAGUGGGGACUGUUGCAGACAGGCUACUGGCACUGUGCUCGACUGGUCUCCUAACAGCGUAUUGAUUUGACUCUACACAGUUAAGUAAGUAGCUGGAACAUGUUAGAAAGAAUCAUGAGCAAAGCAGACUUCCAGGACAUCUCAGCAGAAUCUUACAUACUGUCUAUUUGUGAACCUUGAAAAGACUGAGCUGCCCUGCCUGAGGCAGCUGCUGUUAACUGCGGCGCUUUAACUUCUUUUACUGCAAGCCAAAAGCUGACUGACAGACUUUAGGCUGAGGGUGAACUUUUUCUAAAACUCUUUAAAUCUUGAUUAUACAAGCCUCAAGCCCGCUGAGUGAUGUGCAACUGAAUGACUGCCUCCGUGUAACUGCUGUUACUGUUUGGCAAGUGAUUUGUCAACUUUUAAAACACAAUAUUUUGAUAAAUAAACUUCAAAGAUAUUUAAUAUUAAUGAUAUGGGCCAUAUUCUCUCCUUGGAUAUGUCACAGCCGUUGACUAAUUAAUUUAUACAUGCACAGGGUAGAAUAUGGCCCAGAGCGUGUACCCUAAAUGCUUACUAACGCACCUAAAAAUAGGGGGAGUCUUAAUUUUUCCUGAGCCAGUAUUUUUUAGAAAUGUUAAGCACCUGUUGGGACAAGCAAAAAGCCAGAAAAUGCAAAGUUAAGGGAGAGACUCCAGGUCAUUAUUAUUUCCCCAACCCUUAUGCUGCCUUUGAAUUGCCUGGCACUCCAGUUUUGUUUCACAAGAUUGUUAUUUAACCUACUUUUGUCACAGUGAAUUGGAAAUUAGGUUUAACGAGUCACUGUUUUAUUUAAAAGUGUUGCUAAAAGCUAUCAGUACCAAAACUUGGUCUAGAAGGGCUUAACCUGGCAACAUAGGUGUGGGGACAAAUAAAUCCAAAUAACUAUACUGCAAAACUAAUCAAAGAAAAAUUGGAAAGGGGAGGAGGGGGACUUCUUAAAUUGCUGCUCCUGCCCUUCUGACUCUGAUUAAUUUAGAAAAGUUUAAUGCAACCAGGCUUUUCUUUCAAAAAGAAUUGCCCUUGUCAAGGCCAAAAAUUGGGAGUUAAUUAGUGCCCAUACACAGCAAAUCUUGAUAGCUAAAACUGCAUGCUGCUCAAAUAUAAGCCCAUUCAGUGGGUUCCUUCCUCAGGAUACCCUUGAAAGUGAGAUUUCAGUUUUAAUGAGCUAUUUCUUUGUUAAACACAGAAGUAGACUUUAAUCCUAACUAAACUUGCUGUUGCAUGGCAAUAUUCUGGCUCUCAGACUAAAUUACAAUAACCCACCUAUGUCAAGAAAAUUGAAUUUGUAUACAGAAUACUUAAGUUGUAACGUGGAAAGUAAGCAUGUACUAUAUGCCUUCUAACUCCUGCAGGAUUAGGGAUAACUGCCCCUAACUUUUGGAUGACAGGCUUUCACCCUUCAAUGGGACAUGCGUUUGCUUAAUGUGCCCUUUAUCUCUAUUUUGGGGAGCAUUUACCAAACAGGCCUUCUAUAUUUUAAAAAAAAAUCUUGCAGAUCACCUUUAACUGGGGAUUUGUCUAUACUAGCAAGUUAAUACAAAUUAAGGUAGAUUGCAAAUUUAAAGCACAAUAGCUGUUUCUGAGUAACUCCAUGGGUCAACCCUUAUUCUGGAACAAGAAUGCCUUGUUGCUGUUUAGCUUAACCCACUUGGAAACUAGACAAGCCCUGAAACAUUCCUUGAUUUAAUUUGUCAGAAAUAAGUUAAAUUUAUCGGUGUGUUAAAUACAUGCUUUGCUUCCUUUAGGAUCUGUUAUACUCUUGCUGUGCAUAUUGGAAGCUAAGUAGACUUUAUCCAUUAUAAUCGCACUUGCAUUUAAUAUUUCUUCCAGAGUAACUUUUCAGUUGGAGAUCCAGGAAGCUAACUACGUAACUCCCAUUAGGUUUAAUAGGAAUCUGUGUGGACCUGACCCUGUAUCUUUCCAUACUUGGCAUUUCAGUGUUGCUGUUACAAAGGGGAUUUGGGUAUGUGCACCCAUUGCUGCUGUGUCUUGUCACUGGAGAAUAUACUAACCUGUUUGUCUUAUAUUUGGAACAGCAUCCUGUGAAAUGACUAACUUUAGACACAUCAGAAAACUUGAGCCUAGAUAGAAAAACCAGAGGAGACAUUUUCAGUAGGGGAAGGAAGACUUUCCACUUCUAAUUCUGUUUAACUUCCUGACACUGUAAUUUCAGUAUAGGGCUCAGUGCUAGUUGUUCAUUGUAGAAUGUGGGAAAAGAGAGAUCUUUUCACUGGUAGUUGCGCACACUGUUCCCCACUUAAAUUACAGUAUGCUCUGUUGUGUGUUCUCCAAGAAUUCUUAAUUAAAUGAGUUGUACAGAACUGCUCCUACACUUAAAGAAAUUUUAGACUAUAACAUGUUACCAGAAGCCUAUUAAACUGCUGUGCUUAAGUAUGUCUGUCUAGAUGGUGCUGCUAAUUAGCAAAUUCAGUGUCUUUAGUCCUAUUCUUCUUGUAAAUCUGCUUGCUCCUUUUGCCUUUUCAUUUAAUUGUCAUAAAUAAUGGACUGUGGGUUAAAUGAUGGGUUUUUUGAUAAUCCUUUGUUAGAAGUGUAAAUAUAUAUAUAUAGAGGGAGAGAGAGAGAGUCUGCUAUAACAUGACAUUUGAAAGUUCAGACUGCCUCUAAAGCUUGGAGAAGCUAGAGACUGCAUCUGCAAACAUAUUCCAGACUGGUGCACUGUACGCAGCAUUAAUCAAAAUGCAGCACCUUUUGAACUCUGAGAAAGAUCCCUGUACAGAAUCUGGACCAAAUUACCAGUGUGAUGUUUUCAUCUUGGUGUGUCAAGACUGGGCAGUUAGAACAUUUAUAGGGGCCACACAGAGCUGUAAUGAAGAGGCUGCCGGUAGCUGUCUGUAGAGUUUGACGUCUUAAUGCUGUAGUGGAGCUAGGUGGCCUCUGAGGAAGCUUUUUGACCAUCCCUUAUGGUUGAGCACUGUGAAAGAUUUGUUUAUACUUGAGCACUGUGGAAUUGAAAAUAGCUAGCUGUGGCUUAUUUUCAUACUGCAAAAGCUGCUGUUCUUCCUGUUAAAACUGUCGGUUGUGUUGUAAUUGACUGUCUAGUUCCUCUUUGAGGAAAGUUCAUCUCCAAUUUUAUAUUUGGGACAGACACAUUUCAUUGUGUUGUGCUCACAUUGUAAGAGAGGUGGCUACUGUGCUCUGAGUCUUACUCUUCACACUUGGAUUUCCAUUCUGCAAUCUGAGCAGGGAGUUCUUAUGCUUGGUUGAAUUGUGGUGGCUCUUUGGUGUUAGCUGGUGACGAUUUGGGAAACCACGCACAUGGUAGUCCUUGCUAAGUAUCACCAUAUUGUAACCUUGUAAACACUGUCAAGGGAGAUGUGGUCAGUCACUGCUGUAACUGAAAUCUGUUCUUCUGCUAUUUUCCUUUCUUCAGGUUAGUGGCAGGCUACCAAAAAUUUUAUUUUAGUAAUGCUGUUUAUAAGGGGAGCCACUUACUGCAUUCUCUUAUGGGCAGGGGAGGAUAGACUGUACUUCCCGUGACCCUACUAGCCCCUCCUGUCCCUCCCUCCAUACAGGUUUUUAAAGGAACUACUCGAUCAUCUGAGACCCAGUAGCCCAUGAGUGCAAUGAGUUAAAUGCAGAUUUGUACUCUGCUAUAUGCAUCCCAGACUAAGUGGACUCGGGAGGUGUAUAGUACAGUACUUGCACUGUACAAAUGGGAAUUGUGUAGAAGCCCGGUGAGCAGUGUUGCAGUUGGUUGGUAAUGAGAUGGUGGAUGAGUUUCCCUUUCCCUAUUUUCCCUCCUCCAUGACCAUACUUCAGUUCCAUGUAAGCUUGUUCCAAGGUGGCUUCUGCCUUGUCAUUCAUUAUUGAGAGAGCAGUCUCACAUGUGCUAAGAGAACCACAGUCCACUGACUGUCCAGCAGCAUUAGAUGUUUGUUAUUAUUUAAAUGUUAACUUUCAUUAAAAUCUCUGUUUGCAGACAUGCUUUGAGAACUGCUGCCUUAAUGCACUAGUUUACUGUGGUGGGGUUGCAGCUUAUUUUAUACAGAGGAUAACAGCAUGGUGGCGGGGCCUGUUGCAGCGUACAGCCCCAUAACUUUAAAGGAACUCUGCUCAUCUUUAUUUCAGGAUUAGCAGAUCUUCCAUGUUUACUAUAGAAAGAUCUUUGCACAAAGCUGAAACUUUAACUUCACCCUGCGGGUUAAAAAAGUGGUAGUGAGGUGGCUUAAACUGUCUCUCACUACAGUUCAGGUUUCAAGCAUGUCUCGCUAACAGUUUCCAGCAAAAAGCGGGAAGGCAAGGCUUGAUUUUUCUGAUGUAAAGGCAAAAAAUGAUUGGGGGUAGGGGGCCCUUUGUAGCUGUCUUUCUGAUUCACUCCAAAGGAGCAAUACAAGAGCACAGAUACUACUCCGUUGGUGAAGAAACCCUAGUCUAGGCACAGGGGGUGAUGGAUUAUUUCAGCCCUAGAAAUAGUUUUGCUAAAAGUGUCAAUUUGGAUUGAAGACUGUUGUAACUCAAAGGCUUCUACCACAACUCUGCUAGGCCUUGUGCCAAAUUAAGGCGUAUAGUAAAACAUUGAUUCAGCUCCUACGUUCUUGUGUGUGUUAACUAGGAAUAGACUGAUGGAGGCUUGACUACGGCAGUCAAGGGCCUAUUGCUAUCCCCAGAAGAGUCUUUGAGCCAAAGUAUUUGAGUGACUUCAAAAUAUUGAUAGACAAACCACCUGUCAUGUAGAGGAGGUUGAAAUUACUAUCCGCUUUCUCUUUCCCCUCCAGUAGGAGGCAAAACCUAACCUAUCCCUCAUCCCCAUGAUUACCCUGGAAUCAUGGUACAGUAAAAGCCCUACAGCAUAGAGUAGGCAGGCCUGGCAAGUACAUUUCAGGGGGGGCAGGUAUACCAAUCAUGAUGCUGCAGGACCAAAUGUUUGGAUUAUUCCACAGCACUAUGGAAAAACUCAGAGCUUCAUAUCCAUCUUCUUGUCAACUUUUCCUCCCUUGGUAUUCACCCCUUUUUGUCAACUGUUGAGAAUAGGCCACUUCCACCUUAAUUGAAGUAGCGCAUUAGCACUGACUGACCCCCCCCCCCCUCACUUGGUAAGGCAACUCCCAUCUUUUCAUGUGCUGUGUAUUUAUACCUGCCUACUGUAUUUUCCACUCUCUGCAUCUGAUGAAGUGGGUUUUAGCCCACAAAAGCUUAUGCCCAAAUCAAUGUGUUAGUUUCUAAGGUGCCACAAGGAUUCCUCAUUGUUUUUGCUGAUACAGACUAAUACGGCUGCCACUCUGAAACUCAUCUCCCACAGUGCAAGUCCACCCCUCUAACAUGCUUGGUGGACUAAGAGUUGGGAAUCCCUUCUUACUGCUUCAUGCCCCCUCCCAGGCUCAGAUACAGCUGGUGCAGCGCAGUACACAUGACAGCAAACAGUCAGCUGCCCAGCCAUUGCUUGUUUUUUCUAACAGUCAUUCAUCCAAACCACUGUUCCAUUGUUUCAGUAUUUAAAUGCAGCAGGGACCUCUAACAGUGCUGUCCUGUGCUAAUGCUGCAACAUGAAGCCGCUGCUUGUUCCAUUUGGAUGCACUGGCUGCUCUCCAUGGUGAUGCUCAUAAGGACAGUGCACCUGGGGGGAUUUUGUAAAAAGCUCUGACUUACCACAAUGCAGAAGUAACUUUCCUUUACUCUUUCCCUCUUCCUGUCCUCAGCGUGGCCGCGAACGUUGCAGUAAUCGAUUACCCACCCUCUGCUGCUAUUCCAUUGAGCGUUUUAGAUGACAGUAGAACGGCUACUCUGAUCUGGGAGCAACACAGGGAUGAGUGGAAAACACAGCUAUGGAAUAUUUGCCUGGUGUUGAAGUGAUUGUGUUGUGAACUCAGGUGUGUUGACUGUUGCUAUGGGUUUCUGCACCAGAAAAUCCUGACUCAAGUUCCCAGUAGCCACCCAUGAGAUAUGGAGCAAAGGGACAGUUAGGUGACGGAAGGGGAGAUAAGGGUUUGGCUACGCAAAAACCGGAAUCUGUUUUAGGGUGAAGUUAUGAACUGAUCUUCAAUGGGGAGUGAAUUUGGUGGUUAAUUAUGUAGAAAAGUUAUUUAAAUAGAUACAAUCAGGGAAAAAGCAGUUUUCCCCUUAUGUUCUAGAAGCUAGUUGCCGCUAAGGAACAUAAGGGUCAAGACUCAAGGGGACUGCAGUGGAGUGGGAGGCAAAGCUAGGCCUGGAAAACUUACAGUUGUCUCUUCUGGUGAUUCUUUACCCAGGUGUCUACAUGUUUUAGCACUCAUGAGCCACAUGCUGUGUUGCUGCAACACAGGAAAGCAGCUGGUCUGUGCCUGGGUGGGAGAUCCUGCUGUCUGUUUCCCCUGAAAUAUUCGGUGAGGAUCGACAGCAGUUCAUUCCUGUGGAGUACAAUGUGAUUAAACCAUGGCAACUGUUCCCACGAAACAAAAUGUGAUAAGUCACAGCUUAGUAGGAGCUGUGGGAGAGUAAGUACUCUGGGCAAUAGUGUAAAGCCUGUGAGAAACAUUUUAAAUAAAGAGCUGCAGUAGCCAUGUAAGGAAACGGUGUUACUCUGAAAUAUCAACAACUGUUUACUUCUGCUGUUGGAAUCAUGUUACGGUUGUGCAAAGAAUCUUCAUCCUUCUACAGUAUUAAAGUGGAGAUUCACUGAA